GUGCAAUGGCAUAAGCCAGCUUGACUGCGAGCGUGACGGCGCGAGCAGGUGCGAAAGCAGGUCAUAGUGAUCCGGUGGUUCUGAAUGGAAGGGCCAUCGCUCAACGGAUAAAAGGUACUCCGGGGAUAACAGGCUGAUACCGCCCAAGAGUUCAUAUCGACGGCGGUGUUUGGCACCUCGAUGUCGGCUCAUCACAUCCUGGGGCUGAAGUAGGUCCCAAGGGUAUGGCUGUUCGCCAUUUAAAGUGGUACGCGAGCUGGGUUUAGAACGUCGUGAGACAGUUCGGUCCCUAUCUGCCGUGGGCGCUGGAGAACUGAGGGGGGCUGCUCCUAGUACGAGAGGACCGGAGUGGACGCAUCACUGGUGUUCGGGUUGUCAUGCCAAUGGCACUGCCCGGUAGCUAAAUGCGGAAGAGAUAAGUGCUGAAAGCAUCUAAGCACGAAACUUGCCCCGAGAUGAGUUCUCCCUGACCCUUUAAGGGUCCUGAAGGAACGUUGAAGACGACGACGUUGAUAGGCCGGGUGUGUAAGCGCAGCGAUGCGUUGAGCUAACCGGUACUAAUGAAC
rnacentral:rRNA from 1 species